UAUAAAAAUGAUAGGUUGAUAAUCUGUGA
rnacentral:piRNA from 1 species